rnacentral:rRNA from 1 species
UACGGAGGAUCCAAGCGUUAUCCGGAUUUAUUGGGUUUAAAGGGUGCGUAGGCGGCCUAUUAAGUCAGGGGUGAAAGACGGUAGCUUAACUAUCGCAGUGCCUUUGAUACUGAUGGGCUUGAAUGUACUUGAGGUAGGCGGAAUGUGACAAGUAGCGGUGAAAUGCAUAGAUAUGUCACAGAACACCAAUUGCGAAGGCAGCUUACUAUGGUUUUAUUGACACUGAGGCACGAAAGCGUGGGGAUCAAACAGG